GCCUCCUUCCACGCGGUGGUUCUGCUUGGCAGUUUCUUUCUUUUUUUUUUUUUUAAUGUUUAUUUAUUUUUGAGACAGAGAGAGACAGAGCAUGAACGGGGGAGGGUCAGAGAGAGAGGGAGACACAGAAUCCGAAGCAGGCUCCAGGCUCUGAGCUGUCAGCACAGAGCCCGACGCGGGGCUCAAACUCACGGACCGUGGGAUCAUGACCUGAGCUGAAGUCGGACGCUUAACCGACUGAGCCACCCAGGUGCCCCCUGCUUGGCAGUUUCUAUUGUCAAACAGCAUAUAAAAGAAUCUGGAGCCAGGUCAGAUACAAGUACCUUUUUUUCUUUUUUUGCAAGGGGGCUGUCGUUCACCCAUAAAAUCCAAAGUCCCAGGCUGGAAUUUCUUGUGGACCAAAGGCUCUGCUCUUCAUCCACCAUGGAAGUGGGUGAGGAAGGCUCCAUUACCCAGCUUUGGCCAUCCCGUGAGCAUACGGCCCAAGGUUGGACUGCACACCCCGUCCCAGGUCCUUCCUGCAGAGCCGGGCCCCCUGGUCACUGCCCCAGAUCUCCAAGACCUUCGAUUGAGCUGGGUCCCAGCACCUGGACUCAAGUUCCGAUGAGGAACUCGGGUUGCAAAAAUGCUGACUGCAAACCAAAGCUAGUGGCCGGCCUCGUCACCGGGAGCCUGGUGGAAAUGCACGUUCUCAGACCUCAGCACACAGCUUCUGAAUCAGAAUCUGCAUUGUAACAGGAUCCCCAGGACAUCUGUCGGCACAUGAAGGUUUAAUAAGCACUCGUCCACAGCAUCGGAUUCUGGGUGCCCGAGGGGCUCAGUCUUGAGGUCCUGAGCGUCCGACUUCGGUUUAGCUCAUGAUCUCCUGCUUUCUGAGUUCAAGCCCCGCAUCGGGCUCUUUGCUGUCAGCACAGAACCCACUUUGGGUCCUCUGUCUCCCUCUCUCUCUGUCUCUCUGUGUCUCUCAAGAAUAAAUAAACAGGAAAAAAUAAUAAUAGAGCA
rnacentral:lncRNA from 1 species